AACCCAUGGUGUGAGCAUUGUAAUAAAAGCGAUUUGAAGCGAUCCUAUGCCUCAUGAAAAGAUUCAACACUAUUUUAUUAAAAAUUAAAAGUUUCAGCUCUUAAUUCU
rfam:Ricinus communis cultivar Hale ctg_1100012359819, whole genome shotgun sequence.